GACGAACGCUGGCGGCGUGCCUAAUACAUGCAAGUCGAGCGCAGGAAACUGACGGAACUCUUCGGAGGGAAGGCAGUGGAAUGAGCGGCGGACGGGUGAGUAACACGUAAGGAACCUGCCUCAAGGAUUGGGAUAACUCCGAGAAAUCGGAGCUAAUACCGGAUAGUUCAACGGACCGCAUGGUCCGCUGAUGAAAGGCGCUUCGGCGUCACCUUGAGAUGGCCUUGCGGUGCAUUAGCUAGUUGGUGGGGUAACGGCCCACCAAGGCGACGAUGCAUAGCCGACCUGAGAGGGUGAUCGGCCACACUGGGACUGAGACACGGCCCAGACUCCUACGGGAGGCAGCAGUAGGGAAUCUUCCACAAUGGACGAAAGUCUGAUGGAGCAACGCCGCGUGAGUGAUGAAGGUUUUCGGAUCGUAAAACUCUGUUGUAAGGGAAGAACACGUACGAGAGGGAAUGCUCGUACCUUGACGGUACCUUACGAGAAAGCCACGGCUAACUACGUGCCAGCCGCCGCCGUAA
rnacentral:rRNA from 1 species